rnacentral:rRNA from 1 species
CAGCAGCCGCGGUAAUACGUAGGGGGCGAGCGUUACCCGGAUUCACUGGGCGUAAAGGGGGUGUAGGCGGCUCGGUAAGUCGGGUGUGAAAUCCCACGGCUCAACCGUGGAAUUGCGCCCGAAACUGCCGAGCUUGGGGCCGGUAGAGGGAGACGGAACUGCCGGUGUAGGGGUGAAAUCCGUAGAUAUCGGCAGGAACGCCGGUGGGGAAGCCGGUCUCCUGGGCCGCGCCCGACGCUGAGGCCCGAAAGCUAGGGGAGCAAACCGGAUUAGAUACCCGGGUAGUCCUAGCCGUAAACGAUGCCCACUAGGUGUGGGGGAGUAUUUCCUCCGUGCUGGAGCUAACGCGUUAAGUGGGCCGCCUGGGGAGUACGCCCGCAAGGGUGAAACUUAAAGGAAUUGGCGGG